UACUCUCACACUUCUGAUCCUUUGGAUUGGGAGCGGUGGACUUGGGUGCUGCUGCUUUACUGUGGCUCACCUCAAAUGCAUUAGUGCAACUCUUGGUUGGACAUAGUACGGCGUGAUAAGUGUCUUCGCCGGCACCUCACAAGAGGGUGGCUGAUCGGGAGCUCUGUGCUUCUAACUGUCUUCAGACAACAACUGACA
rnacentral:misc_RNA from 1 species